rnacentral:rRNA from 1 species
UACGUAGGGUGCGAGCGUUAAUCGGAAUUACUGGGCGUAAAGCGUGCGCAGGCGGUUAUGUAAGAUAGAUGUGAAAUCCCCGGGCUCAACCUGGGAACUGCAUUAGUGACUGCAUAGCUGGAGUACGGCAGAGGGGGAUGGAAUUCCGCGUGUAGCAGUGAAAUGCGUAGAUAUGCGGAGGAACACCGAUGGCGAAGGCAAUCCCCUGGGCCUGUACUGACGCUCAUGCACGAAAGCGUGGGGAGCAAACAGGA